rnacentral:rRNA from 1 species
AGCAGCCGCGGUAAUUCCAGCUCCAAUAGCGUAUAUUAAAGUUGUUGCAGUUAAAAAGCUCGUAGUUGAAUUUCGGGGUUAGCAGGUCGGUCGUGCCAUUGGUAUGAACUGGUCUCGCUGAUCCCUCCCUCUUGACGAACUGUGAUGCCAUUAAUUUGGUGUCGCAGGGAAUCAGGACUGUUACUUUGAAAAAAUUAGAGUGUUUAAAGCAGGCUUUCGCUUGAAUACAUUAGCAUGGAAUAAUGAAAUAGGACGUUUGAUCCUAUUUUGUUGGUUUCUAGGAUUGACGUAAUGAUUAAUAGGGAUAGUUGGGGGCAUUAGUAUUCAAUUGUCAGAGGUGAAAUUCUUGGAUUUAUUGAAGACUAACUACUGCGAAAGCAUUUGCCAAGGAUGUUUUCAUUAAUCAAGAACGAAAGUUAGGGGAUCGAAGACGAUCAGAUACCGUCGUAGUCUUAACCAUAAACUAUGCCGACUAGGGAUCGGAUGAUGUUAAUUUUUUAAUGACUCAUUCGGCGCCUUACG